rnacentral:rRNA from 1 species
UACAGAGGGUGCGAGCGUUGUUCGGAAUUACUGGGUUUAAAGGGUGCGUAGGCGGGCCUUUAAGUCAGUGGUGAAAGCUCCGAGCUUAACUCGGAAACUGCCAUUGAUACUAUUGGUCUUGAAUUCGGUCGAGGUUGGCGGAAUGUGUCGUGUAGCGGUGAAAUGCUUAGAUAUGACACAGAACACCGAUUGCGAAGGCAGCUAGCUAGACCGACAUUGACGCUGAGGCACGAAAGCGUGGGGAUCAAACAGG